rnacentral:rRNA from 1 species
CCUACGGGGGGCAGCAGUGGGGAAUAUUGGGCAAUGGAGGAAACUCUGACCCAGCAACGCCGCGUGAAUGAUGAAGGUCUUCGGAUUGUAAAGUUCUUUUCUAAGGGAAGAAGAAAGUGACGGUACCUUAGGAAUAAGCCUCGGCUAACUACGUGCCAGCAGCCGCGGUAAUACGGAGGAGGCGAGCGUUAUCCGGAAUGACUGGGCGGAAAGGGUGCGUAGGUGGUUUGGCAAGUUAGUAGCGUAACUCCAAGGCUCAACCUUGGAACUACUACUAAAACUGUUGGACUUGAGUGCAGGAGGGGCAACCGGAAUUCCUAGUGUAGCGGUGGAAUGCGUAGAUAUUAGGAGGAACACCAGUGGCGAAGGCGGGUUGCUAGACUGUAACUGACACUGAGGCACGAAAGCGUGGGGAGCAAACAGGAUUAGAUACACCAGUAGUC